GAAAGCUCUUUGUUUUUUGAAAGGGUGCUUUUAUGAGAUAGAGCUUUUUUAGAUAAUGCUUUUUUAGAUAAUGCUGGGGAAGGUUUUCCGGUUUAUCUCGGAGGGCUUGUAGCUCAGUUGGUUAGAGCGCGCGCUUGAUAAGCGUGAGGUCGGAGGUUCAAGUCCUCCCAGGCCCACCAAUUUACCUAUCCAUUUGCCUUUAUCUGUUUAUUUGCCGAUUUAUCGGUCCAUUGAAUUUAAGUGUUGGUAGCAGUUUUAUAAUGAUGAGAAAUCAUGCUUAUAAAAGAACUCCUUAUAAAAGGCUUGUUUUUAAAAUGUGACGCUUAUCCAUUUCGCUUAGGUAAGAGAAACUUCAAGCGGUUCAAAUACAAAAGGCUUUAAGUUUUGCAAAACACUUUGAAUUUUGCAAAACACUUUGAAUUUUAAAGUGAUCCAAGUUCGUGAUCUCGAAUUUAAAAGUUUCGAAUGCUUUAUCCUUUUUUGGGGGCCGUAGCUCAGCUGGGAGAGCACCUGCUUUGCAAGCAGGGGGU
rnacentral:misc_RNA from 1 species